AUGGCCUCCAAGUGUCCCACGUGUGACAAGACAGUGUACUUCGCCGAGAAGGCAAACUCUCUGGGCAAGGACUGGCACAAAUUCUGCCUCAAGUGUGAGCGCUGCAACAAGACACUGACACCCGGCGGCCAUGCUGAGCAUGAUGGGAAACCCUUCUGCCACAAGCCCUGUUAUGCCACACUAUUUGGACCCAAAGGCAUGAAUACCGGGGGUGCUGGUUCCUAAUCUACGAGAAGCGUCCAACGGAAGCCCCUCAGGUCACUGGCCCCAUCGAGGUCCCUGUGGUGCGAACUGAAGAGUGGAAGACCAGCGGGUCCCCCAAGGGUCGCAGCAAAGCCUCUAGUGUCACCACGUUCACUGGGGAGCCCAACAUGUGUCCUCGAUGCAACAAGAGAGUGUACUUUGCUGAGAAGGUGACCUCCCUGGGCAAGGACUGGCACCGGCCCUGCCUGUGCUGUGAGCGCUGCUCCAAGACACUGACCCCAGGCGGGCAUGCUAAGCAUGAUGGCCAAUCCUACUGCCACAAGUCUUGCUAUGGAAUACUCUUUGGACCCAAAGGAGUGAAUACUGGUGCUGUGGGCAGCUAUAUCUAUGACAAGGACCUGGAAGGCACAGUUCAGCCUUAGAUCUGCAGAUGCUGCCCCUCGGGGUCCCCUAUUUGACCCUGAGGGAGAGUGACCUGCUGCCUAGUCCUGCCUCAGUGUGUCUGGCCUGCAAUUCCAGCACCUAAGUGGUGGAGAAAGCCCGGCUAGUCCUGGAAUUUCAGCUCCCUUGGCCACCUUGCCAUGUCCUAUGUUGCCCGUGGUUUACUUUCUGUCUGUGUGCCUCCAUAGCCCCAUGGGUCCUGUGUCCCCAUGUCCCUGAUAACUCUCCAAGGUGGCUAUCCUAAGAUAUCCCUUUGCCCACACCCACCCACCAGUAUUACUUAUGCUCUGCUUGCCGGUGAUGGCCAUGAGCUAGCUCACAGCAUUCCCAGGGUGACGGCACCCCUGCAAGGAGCCCUUUGCUGGUUCCCACACUACUCCCUACUUACCCUCACAUGGUUCACAGCUAUGGAGAUUUGCUGCCAAUAAAUAGUUUGGUUUAAAAAAAA